AUACGGAGGGUGCGAGCGUUAAUCGGAAUUACUGGGCGUAAAGCGAGUGUAGGCGGCUAUAUAAGUCGGAUGUGAAAGCCCUGGGCUUAACCUGGGAAUUGCAUUCGAUACUGUAUGGCUAGAGUCUGAUAGAGGGAAGUAGAAUUCCGGGUGUAGCGGUGAAAUGCGUAGAUAUCCGGAGGAAUACCAGUGGCGAAGGCGGCUUCCUGGAUCAAGACUGACGCUAAGGCUCGAAAGCGUGGGGAGCAAACAGGAUUAGAUACCCCGGUAGUCC
rnacentral:rRNA from 1 species